GCUGCAUCGAUUUAUUAGGUGGGUCCAGAGAUAAAUGCGUUGUGGGGGAGAAAACAGCCCAAAAGUAAAGAAAUCCAUGGGAAAAGGGAAGAUUUUGGGAUAAAACAAAGAAACGGAGACACCAGGACAUGGGGGAAAAGGUGCUUCUGCAGCACCCUUAAAACCAGCUUUAACACCUAUAGGAAACAGCCCAAGGGGAGCUUCAACCUUCCUCCUCCUCCUCUUCCACGCGGCGGAUGCGCUUCCUCCUCCCCAGGGGCUGCAGCUCCUUGUCCUCAGGCGGCAGCGCUGGGCCUGGGGCUCCCGGAGGCCUCGUCCUCGCUGUCAAGGUCCCGCUGCCUCUUGCUGUGUGGCUGCACCGGGCUGGGGCUGCAUCCAACUGUUCCAAGGUUCCUUACCUGGAUCAGGGUCCUGCGGGCACCGGGGUGGCUCCGGCAGCCCCUGGGGGGACCCCGAGGGGUCAGGGCCAUGGUGGGCGAUGGAGGCGGCUGCACGGCGGAGCUGCCGCGGGGUGAGCGCAGCCGGGAUGCGCCAGAAGCCCCUCACCUGCUCGCUGUCGGGGGGCCGCAGCCCCAGCCGCCGCAGCAGCGCCUGGAACCGCCGGUCCUCCAUCGCGUCCUCAUUCUCCUCCGAGAGCGGCACCAGCGGCACCGCGUGGGACGUGCCUGAGCCCCGUGAGCCCGGUGAGCCCCGGAGCGGGCCCUGGACCCCCCCCCAGCCCCUGCCCGGCCCCCCCCUCCUCACCGUCCUCCUCGCGGUCCCCAGCCGUCCUCCGCAGGCAGCUCUGGAGCCAGCGCAGGGGCCCGGCCAGGCCUGGGGGCACAGCGAUGGGUGAAGCAGGAUGCGGCCCCGCAGCCAAGCAAAGCCCAACCAGGGGGCUCCGAGCCCCAAACCCACCUUCCUGAUGCAGCCGCUGCGCCAGGCCCUGCCCGGCCCCUUCCUCAGACCCCUCCAUGGGGUCUUCAUCAUCCUCCUCUUCAUCCUCCUCCUCCUCCUCACUGUCCCCAUCCUCGGAGCUGUCCUGUGCCGGCACCGCUGGCGCUCCCUGCGGGGACCGGCAGGGUUUGGGUGCCUGUGACGGGGCAGCACCCACUGGGCCGCCCCAGCUCCAGCAGCCUCCCCCGUGGUACCGGUACCGGUGCAGGGCCAUGGCCCUUCCUCCGGCGCCUCUUGUAGAGCUCCGCACGCGUCGCCACCAGCCCCAGCGCCAGCAGCUUGUCCACCACCCGCGCCCGCGAGCGCCGCGCAGUCAGGUGCUGCAGGAUGUGGCCCAGCACCAUCCGAGCCCCGGAACUCCUCGAAGAGCCGCGUCAGCUCCUCCUCCUGCUCCUGCGUCCACAGCACGAUGCGGGUGCCCUUCCUGCGGGGGGGACAUGGGGGUCAGUCCCAGCCCCAGGGCCCAGCAACCACCCCGCUUGUCCCCCAUGGAGGAGGGGGUCCCUGACCCACCUCUGCCGCGGGAGGUCGCGGGCGCUGCCGACCAGCCCCAACCGCACCAAGUGCUUCACAACGUGCCUCCGCGUGCGCCCGGGCGCCGGGAGCUGGGCCAGGAGGGCUCCAGCCACGUCCGAGCCUGCGGGAGCCGAGGAUACAGGGAUGGAGCCUCCGACACCCCCCGGGGGUCCCGCUGCACCCCCAAACCCCAGCCCCGGUACCUUCCACCUCCUUGUACUUCCAAUAGAGCUCCCGCAGCUCCUGCUCCUCCUGCGGGGUCCAGGGGGGUGCCCGGCUCCUGCCAGCCCCCUCUCCCUCCCGCAGGGAGCCGUAGCCCUCGCUCAUCUCCCGGGCGGCCGCUGGGCUCUUCCAGAAGAGCAGCUCCACAAACGCCUUCUUGUUGGUGGCCGCCAGCGCAAAGAACUUGCCCAGGAUGAACUUGGCCAACGCCACCAGCUCCUGUGGGCGAGAACGGGGCUGGGGGACACGGACCCUUUCCCGGGAAGAGGGGAUGGAACCGGGACCCGUCUGACCUGGUGCGCGCCGGCGGCGGGGUCGUGAAGCAGCCGGUUGAAGAGGGCGAAGAGGGAGAGCUGGAAGAGCAGCGGCUCCAUGUGCAGGUCGCGGGCCAGGCGGUGCAGCAGGCGGGCGGCGCAGUGGUUGGUGCGGGGGGUGUUGCGGGGGUACCCCCGCAGCAGCAGCACCAGCGCCCGCACCACAGGGGCACAGGCAAACCUGCCCCGGUAGCUCCGGUGAGUGGGGAUCCCCCCAAACCCCUCCAGACCCACCCCUGGAUCCCCCUCUCACCGUUUCAGGUAGUCAAGGAAGUUGAACUCCUUCUCCGACACCUGCACGGUCUCUUCCUCCUCUUCCUCCUCCUCCUCCUCAUCUUCCUCCGGCUCCUCAGCCUCGGGGGGUGCAUGCUCUGCAAUGGGACAGCACUGAGGGUCUGGAGCACCCCCAAACCACAGCCCCCCACUCCCGGUGCCACCGGCCAUGGACUCACGUGGCAGCGGAGCGAAGAGGAUGUCCCGCAGCAGCCGGGUCUCCUCGGGCGGCCCCGCAUCGGCGGAUCCGAACACGUCCCCUUCGGGCCACACAUCCCUGGGGAGAGACAGGGACAGGCUGUCACCGUGCCCGUGCACCGGGUGCGGGACGGGGAGCGCGGUGCCGGUACCGGGCAGAGCGGAGCAGCCGCAGGGCCUGGGGGACCCGAGCAUCCCGCAGGCAGCCCUGGAUGCGCAGCAGAGCCUCGGCGCGUUGCUCCUCCACCGGCGUCUCCGAGGCGGCGUCGAAGGGCACCACGUCCUCGGGGAGGGACACCUCGCCCUGUGUGGGACACCGUCACCUUGUGCCCCACACCGGGACACCCCGGGGUCCCCGCUAUGGGGCUGGAGCCGUCCUCUACCUGCAGGCAAGCCUGGAGCUGUGGGGCCAGCCCUUCCCAUAGCUCCUGCAGCUCCUCGGUGCUGGGCGGCUGCGGGGCCGUGGCUGCAGGCGCACGGGGCUGCUUCUUCCUCCGCACACGCUUGCU
rnacentral:lncRNA from 1 species